rnacentral:rRNA from 1 species
UAAGGAAUAUUGGUCAAUGGGCGCAAGCCUGAACCAGCCAUGCCGCGUGCAGGAAGACGGCCCUAUGGGUUGUAAACUGCUUUUAUCGGGGAAUAAACCUCAUUACGUGUAAUGAGUUGAAGGUACCCGAAGAAUAAGGAUCGGCUAACUCCGUGCCAGCAGCCGCGGUAAUACGGAGGAUCCAAGCGUUAUCCGGAUUUAUUGGGUUUAAAGGGUGCGUAGGCGGUUUAUUAAGUCAGUGGUGAAAGCCCGGAGCUCAACUUCGGAACUGCCAUUGAUACUGAUAGACUUGAGUACAGAUGAAGUGGGCGGAAUGUGACAAGUAGCGGUGAAAUGCUUAGAUAUGUCACAGAACACCGAUUGCGAAGGCAGCUCACUAAAGUGUAACUGACGCUGAGGCACGAAAGCGUGGGGAUCAAACAGGAUUAGAUACCCCUGUAGUCC